UCGUACUCCAAAAGAACUUUCCACAGUUUUUAGCCAAGUCAAGAAUGUUUCUACAUCCAAAUAUUGAAAAUUAUUAUUACUUGAUCAAUUUUGGGUGAAAAAAAUCCAACUCCAAACUAGCCAUAAGUACUAAUUUUAAGAUUUAUUGCAAGUUCUGGGACUAAAUUUUGACUCUUGAAAGUACAAAAACUAAACUGGAGUACAUUGGUAUGUAUGUAUAAAUGUGUAUGUGUAUGUGCGCGCGUUUGUUUGUGCAUGUGUGUGUAUGUAGUUAUGUGUGUGUGUAUGUACAAACUAAUCUAGAGUGGUAGGGUUUGGAUUCGCUGAAGAAGAAAAGGAAGAGAAAGGAAGGUUGAAACCCCCACAUCGGUCAUGCGUUAGCCGGUUAAACUUACAGAAUAUCCGAUACUGCAACAGCGACAGCUGCUUCCUCAACAUCACUCUUUCAAUUACGAGCGGAAUAAGACAGAGGGUUCACACACGUGAGGACGGAGUUGAAGGAUAAGCUCUAGCUUAAGAGGCUUCUUCAGUGGCUGUCCUUUCUCUUGUUCAAGCAAAA